rnacentral:tRNA from 33 species
GGGGCCUUAGCUCAGUUGGUAGAGCGCCUGCUUUGCAAGCAGGAUGUCAGGAGUUCGAAUCUCCUAGGCUCCAC